CCCACUUCUGCUGUCGAACAGGUUUAACGUGGAAUGCACAAGCAAGUCUCCGAACGGAAGGGCUACUUGCUAAAGUUAUCCGGAAUAGUUUAGCGGGCAUGAAUAUCUGUGAACGGAGCUCUUAUUGCACCAGGUUAACCUACCAAUCAGUUAUGACUGGGAGGAAACUGGAACACCCAGAAGAAACCCACGUGAUAACAAGAAGAACGUACAAACUCUUUACAGAAACGGCCAGAUAUCGCCGAUUGGGACUUAAGGCAAGAGUCAAUAUUCCUUGGCUUUUUUCAGAACCUGUAUUCAGUGCAAAAUAGGGUUCUUGUUAAGAGAAGAUGGAGAUGCCCUUUAAUGCCUGUGCAACAUUGGUUUGUUCUCAGCUUUGGUGGUGGAAUAAGACUUCUUGGAUCAACCUAAUGCAAGGAGGACCAGUUUCCCAUGAAAAUGAGAUAUCCCCUGUACAGUACAGGACUGUUUGUGAUCAAGAGCACCAGCAGAAUUGUUGAGUUUUCUGAUGGGAAUCGAAAACUCUGGUGACUCCUGACAGGCUUAGAAAAAGCAGGGGCUCAGGUGUUUCUCUGCCUGGACAAGCUCAAUGCAUCGAGCAGGAAUCAAAACUUGAAAACUAACUACAUUUAUGCUCCUAAUUGGAGGCCAAAUACUGGAACUGCAGCUAAAAUAUUGAAAGAGUCAACAAAAUACUGCUCACAGCCUCCCGAAAUUCAACAAGCUGACAACAUGCCAACUGACUGUGCAACAUAGAUGCCACCUUCCUGUUGGAAAUGCAAACCCUCCUAGACAAACUGAACAUUCUCAAGUGUUAUCAGAAUUAGAUAGCCUGGUCUUUGUUUAAUUAUCCAACAGAUGCUUAGAGAAUGAUCGCUGCCAG